CCCUAGCAACAACAGGGCCCAGUGCCUGAUGAGCAAGUGGAGAAAAGGACGGAAACUGAGUGAGCUCUCCUUUACAAAGACUCUAGCAGACAGAGGCCUCUCGAAGACCCACAACAGAGGGUCAUGAAAUAUGUUCCUGAGGACUCAGCUACUAAUGAGUGAGAUAAAGAGAUGGGAGCUGUGGGAAGCCAGAACAGCAGUGACCUCGCCUCUCAGUUCAUAGUCGCAGCGCUCAUGGGCAGCCUCAGGACUGAGAGGAUAGUGGUCCGCCCUGUCCGCAGGGAGGCAGGAACAGAGCCACAGGGACACGGAGUGACCACUCAAGGGAUGUGGGUGAAGACGGAAAGUAGGAACUGUGUGACUGGAGCACGAUGGAUCCUCCUGAAUUCACACCCCAGAUGCAUGGAACAUCCGAGAAUCUCUGAACACGACCCUCUCUCUGCAGAGUGGUACUGAGGAUUCCCUCCUCACCUCCAGUCACUCCUGUCACCAGGUCUCAGGGCGGAACCUUGGCAAAGGCUGCAGCAAUCCUUCCACCCUGGCUCUGUGUGUCCUUUGUCUCUGCUGAGCUGUCUGUGGUCCACGCUUCUGGCCAGUGAGUUGUGGCAGGGGUGGGGGGGCGGCUUUGCGGCAGGCAGAACCCUACUGACUUUGAAAGGUUCCAGUACUCCUUGCAGGGAGCUGCUGGGCUCCUCCUCCUCCUCCCCUCCACUACCACCAAGACACCAGUCUGGCGUGCUCCUGGUCUUCACGCUGCCCAUUCCUCAACCAGACGUCGUGAAUUGGCAAAGUUACUGUGGGAGGGCAGGCCAGGGACUACAUGAGGAAGAAGGACAAGGUGACAUAGGGGAGUAACUGGUGGCGCCCUCAGACCUACUGGGGUCCACAGGAAGAAGAACAAAGUCGCCAGGACCGGAUAUGAUUGGCACAGUGCGGGACCCCACCAGUAGGGGGUCUCAGACUUCUCCUCUGGACCCAAAGUAUUUUAUGUUCUAAAAAAUGCCUUUCCCUGGAAUUCCUCACAAGCCUUCCAGGUUCCCCGAUCUCUUUGCCCUUGAACUUAAUUUCCCACCUUCCCACCAUAGGUUACCAUCUUAUCAUAAUAAAUAUUUCCAGGGACAAGACAGCCAAGACCACCCACGUACUCACUUGUUUGUUUGCCUUUUUUCCUUUCUUUCUUCUUGUAUUUUCAGGCAGGAUUUCACACUUUAACCCACACCAUAGAAUUUGCAGCAAUUUCUUCUUUCCCUCUCCUAUCCACAAAGUGCCUUUUACCCCCUCUUCCACCAGGUGGCAAUCUUUGUUCACGACUGAAGAUGCCUCAGCUAAUCAGGGGCUGGCACACCUUGUCCACUAUGGAGGACUCCGGCAAUGGUAAAGGGUGGCAACAUGUGAAAGCUUUUACUCUUGUCUCCCAGAUCCGCGUCAUCUACCUGCUAGGGAAUUGGCAUCAGAUAAUGAUAUUCUUUAGGAAGGAGUAGGUUCAUUUUUCCGAUGGCAGGAAAAUGGCAGACACUAAGUAUAUUCAACCCGGCAAGCCACAAUGUAUCCACCCCUGAAUCAGAUACUCAGUUCUGCAUGUAGUGUGACAGUAGCAGAAAGCAAAACCUUAAUGAAUGGGAUCUUCAGACCCCAGAUUAGGGUAUAUCCCAUUGAUGCUCAUCUCAACUAUUGCUAAAGCUGUAUGUUUCCAAGUCAGCAGUGAGGUCUCUGCUGCCUGUGGCUUCUGAGUCAGCUAUUAAUGGGUCUUGGGUUUAGGGCCUCUUGGUCUCCCCAUUGAUCUUCAAUGGAUUCCUUGGAUUCCACGAAACACAGAGCACACUCCUUGAAAUCUGGAGAGUGCUUGUUUAGGGAGAGGUGGCAGCUUAGUUGAGAACUAAGCUCAGUUACUUCUUCUAGGAGAGAUAAGAUCCCCACAAUCAUCUGGGGAGCAGGACAUGCUCGGUCAGACAAAAAUCUUUGUCUCUCCUUCUAGGCAGCUCUCAACAUACAAGUGACCACUAUGUUCCUGCAUUUUUAGAUAUCUUGUUUGACUGUGACCCAUCCACCUAACAACAUAGUGAGAAAGAGCUCACCUCAUGAUGUCUCCUGGGGCCUGUUAGAACCAGACGCCACUCUCUUCCAGGACCCAGAGGCCCCUGUGAAGUGGAGUAUAUAUUCCCUGCUGAAGGUGGCUCAGGCUGGCUUCUGCCCAAGCAAGGGUCGCCUCUGUUCUGUCACCGCCGCAAAAGAAGAUCUUCACCAGAAGCUC